UGCGUAGGCGGAUUAAUAAGUCAGUGGUGAAAUCUUUCGGCUCAACCGAGAAACUGCCAUUGAUACUGUUAAUCUUGAGUUCGGUUGAGGUAGGCGGGAUGUGUAAUGUAGCGGUGAAAUGCUUAGAUAUUACACAGAACACCAAUUGCGUAGGCAGCUUACUAGACCGACACUGACGCUGAGGCACGAAAGCGUGGGGAGCAAACAGGAUUAGAUACCCUGGUAGUCC
rnacentral:rRNA from 1 species